UACGUAGGGACCAAGCGUUGUUCGGAUUUACUGGGCGUAAAGGGCGCGUAGGCGGCUUAACAAGUCACUUGUGAAAUCUCCGGGCUUAACUCGGAACGGCCAAGUGAAACUGUCAAGCUAGAGUGCAGAAGGGGCAAUCGGAAUUCUUGGUGUAGCGGUGAAAUGCGUAGAUAUCAAGAGGAACACCUGAGGUGAAGACGGGUUGCUGGGCUGACACUGACGCUGAAGCGCGAAAGCUAGGGGAGCGAACGGG
rnacentral:rRNA from 1 species